rnacentral:lncRNA from 1 species
GAAGACACGUGGUGUACCAUCCGUGUUCCCAACACAACUAAAAAUUUCUCUGUACUUCCUAGUUGGUAGUCCUACUGUCCUACUGAUUAAUGCCUUCUUGUUCAUUUUUCUUCCCCGGCCCCUCUUGAAUGACUGAUAACUUAGUGAAGGACACUGUCUACCAUUGAAGGGGAUAGAUUGAGAAAAAGCGACACUUACGUGACCCAUUGCUAGGCCGUCAAAGAAGAAGUCAUUCUGUUGUGAAAUUUAUUUUCCCUCUUGAAUGA